rnacentral:rRNA from 1 species
GAUGAACGCUGGCGGCGUGCCUAAUACAUGCAAGUCGAGCGAACAGACGAGGAGCUUGCUCCUCUGACGUUAGCGGCGGACGGGUGAGUAACACGUGGAUAACCUACCUAUAAGACUGGGAUAACUUCGGGAAACCGGAGCUAAUACCGGAUAAUAUAUUGAACCGCAUGGUUCAAUAGUGAAAGACGGUUUUGCUGUCACUUAUAGAUGGAUCCGCGCCGCAUUAGCUAGUUGGUAAGGUAACGGCUUACCAAGGCGACGAUGCGUAGCCGACCUGAGAGGGUGAUCGGCCACACUGGAACUGAGACACGGUCCAGACUCCUACGGGAGGCAGCAGUAGGGAAUCUUCCGCAAUGGGCGAAAGCCUGACGGAGCAACGCCGCGUGAGUGAUGAAGGUCUUCGGAGCGUAAAACUCUGUUAUUAGGGAAGAACAAAUGUGUAAGUAACUAUGCACGUCUUGACGGUACCUAAUCAGAAAGCCACGGCUAACUACGUG